rnacentral:rRNA from 1 species
CACCGGCGCCCCGAGUGGCACUCGCGAUUAUUGGGCCUAAAGCGUCCGUAGCCGGACGGGUAAAUCCGCUGUGAAAUCGUGGCGCUCAACGUUACGGCGCGCAGCGGACACUGCCAGUCUCGGGACCGGGAGAGGCUAGAGGUAUGCCGUGGGGAACGGUAAAAUGUGAUAAUCCACGGUAGACCACCAAUGGCGAAGGCAUCUAGCCAGAACGGAUCCGACGGUGAGGGACGAAAGCCAGGGGAGCGAACCG